CCUGGGGCAAAAGGCAGGGUCAGCAGGGUCUCCUUCCUUCCCGUCAAGCUCUGUCAUCCCCUCGGCUUCAGUCCAGCACCCCUUCAACCUGACAUCACUCCUAAGUGCUGUGCUCAGUACCCUAUACACAUCACCCCAACUCUGCCACUCUGGUUUCAUAGUGCUUAUAACAAAAGUGCGGACCCGACAUACUGCCUCUUCUUAGGCUCAGCCAAAAUGCUGGAUGACCCUUGCCUCAGUUUCCACACCUAUGGCCACUAGUCAGUCAUCCUGAUCUUGUUCCUGGCUCUGCCCUCUCCUGUCUGAACAGAAUACAGCAAAGGCCAGAAUCAAACAUGCCACAGGAGAAGAGGUCCAAGGAGAAACGUGCUCUCUAACGAGACAGGUGCUCUCUAGGGCGAGGCGGUCUGCUGAGUGGCAGAGCAUGUUCCUCAAAGCCCUGGACUCUGUCCUCAGCACCAAAGGGAAAAGGCAGGGAGGAAGAAUGGAGAAGGGAGAAGGAAACAAAUGUUUCUGACUACCCAGAGGACCCUGCUUGGAUCGUAACUCUCUGGACCUCAGUUUCCUUAUACAUAUGCACAAGAAGGACUUGAAGUUAGAUAAUCACUAAAGUCUACCACAUGUCUGACACUAACUAGAAUUCUCAGUGAACCAGACCAUCUUGCUCUCCUUCUUUCCCGUAAGUACCUUAAAUGACAAGGAGAGAAAACAUUACCAGCUAUUAAAAAACACAAAACAAGCAGCUGCUACAAGGAAUCUCAAAGAGAGCUGAUACAACCCCAUCCACACCAGACCCCAACAAUGCCUAAAUCCCAGGACCAGGACAGGGGCUGGAAGAGGAAGCCCCGACAGUCACGACCGAGGCAGGAAAAGAGAACAAGGCAUUUGACAAAGAUUCCAUCACAGAGGAAACGAGGGAGCUCCAGUUGUCGGUCCAGUUGUUGAGAUCCCAGAGAAAGGCGACCUGGGGAAGCCUGCAGGGACAGCUCAUCUGAGUCCUGGAGGUCCUCCCGGGGCCCAGCCCCAAUUCUCUUUCCACCUGCUUACAUCUCCCGCAUGAGGGCUGGUUUUGAGCAAAGAGGGGUCCCUGUCCAAGGAGAUUCUAUUACAGCCCCCCAGAGACUGUGGAUGGAGGGGACCGAAGCGGGAGGGCCCCAUGCGAUGAAGGCCGGGACACCGUGCGGUGCCAUGUAGAGAGGGCAGCAGGGGAGAUGGGAGGGCAGGUGGGAUGCAGACGCACAAAUCGGAGAUGAGGCCAACUGAUGCUCGGCUCCUAGUCCCCCUCUGAGGGCCUCUCUGGACCCUCUCCUCUCACCCACCCCAAUGCCCUUCCACACUGGUUGAACAAGCCCACCAGAUCGCUGUUCCCUGGCGCUGGCAGGUCCCAGGUAGAGUAUGCCUGUGCGAAGCCAAUCUCUGCUGGAGAACAGCUUGACAGCCCAGCCAAGGGGCCCAGGGCGCACCCCACUCCUCCACAGCCCUCACCAUCAAGCCUGCCACCUCCUGCCCCACCUCCCACUCACCUGGGAAAACUGCUUCUCCCGCAUCUUGACCUCCUUCUCUACCAGCUGCUGCCUCCGGGCACCCUCGCUCUGCAGCCUCCGCUCCACUUGCUCCCGCCGCCGCCGCUCCUCCUCCAGGGCCUGCCGCCGCAGCUCCAUCUCGCGCUCCUGUCCCCAAAGCCAGGGGUCACCGUCAGCAUCCCCCGCUGACCCUCCUCAGGACGGACACCUACCACAAGACGAUGGCCUAGCAGAGGAAGCACUGUCCCCACAGCUACCCUCUCCAAGAGCUCUGCUGGCUUUAGACGUACACUUUACAGUAUGACUUGCCUGACUUCAAACCCCGGCUAUGUCAGCACUGUGGGCUGCGACCCAGACAAAAGCAUUUAAAUUCUCUAAGCUUCAAUUAUCUCAUCUGAAAAAUGGGAUUAAAUGUGCCUGUUCCUGAGAUUAUGGUAAAAAUUAAAGGAGAUCCUGUUUAUAAAUGCCCAUUACUGAUUCCAGCAGGAAAACAGCACUUAAAUAUACAGGGUUAUUAUAAUUAUAGCUGAAUUCCUAGACUGCAAAUUAUUUCACUUUUUUUGACAGCUAUCCUUCUCUGUUCACCAAUUUAAGGCUCUUUGAUACUCCACGUUAGUAAUAUCUAUUGGAGAAAAAUGAGAUCAGAGACUAAGCUUGCAGUUGAAAUUAUUACAAAGGGUUUCAAAUUGGGCAAGGUGGCACAUGCCUGGAAUCCCAGCACUCUGGGAGGCUGAGAUAAGAGGAUCACAAAUUUGAACCCAAGCUUGGUUAUUUAGAGACUUAGCAAGGUCCUGCAACAAAAAUAACAGGGCUGAAGAAACGGCCUGAUGUGAAGGCCCUGGAUCCAAUCCCAGCUCAGCAAAGGAAAAAAAGAAAAAACCAGGGGUGGUUUAACAAUCAUUAAAAUAACUCAUAAAGAAA